rnacentral:rRNA from 1 species
UACGGAGGGGGCUAGCGUUGUUCGGAAUUACUGGGCGUAAAGCGCGCGUAGGCGGACCUGCAAGUCGGGGGUGAAAGCCCGAGGCUCAACCUCGGAACUGCCUUCGAUACUGCGGGUCUCGAGUCCGGGAGAGGUGAGUGGAAUUCCUAGUGUAGAGAUGAAAUUCGUAGAUAUUAGGAAGAACACCAAUUGCGAAGGCAGCUCGCUGGGACGUUACUGACGCUGAGACGCGAAAGCGUGGGGAGCAAACAGG